GAGGAAAGAAAUGAAAAAGUUGCAACACUACAGCUGGGUCAGGACAGCUAAAGAGUGAGACUUGUCCCUCAAAACACAUUUAGUCUAACCACUCUGCUUCUUAUGACACUGUACAUACAGUCAUCUGAUUGGUCCCUUGAUAAAAAAUUGUAUGUGCAUAUACCCCGCUAUACAUUUCCAGUAAGACAAUAUCCCCACGCACAUUUGACAAUAGCACCCAGUACCAAUCUUAAUAACAAUGCCAUUUGCGAAAAAUGUAUGUGCUUAUAUUUGUUGCUGUCAAUAUAGGCUUUUAACCAAUUCUUCCAAAUUGGUGUGUGUUUAAUCAUAGAUGACUACAAGUAGCAAAAAAAGGGUCACAUUCUUCAAAUGUGACACUUGGAAUCAUCUUUGCCUCCAGAAUCAUCUUCCUCAAUGUGGGUAUGGGUAACAUCCUCUGUCAAGCAGGUUUAGUACUGUCCCACUGGUUAGGAACUUUUGUAUCAUUUGUUUGUUUUACCAUGGCUACCAGCCAGUCAGAAUUCAGGAUUCAAGGUAACCAAUUUAUAAUUAGGUUAUAGCUCUGUGUACCCACUGCCUGGCUUUUUAAAGUCAAGAACAAUUUGUAUUUCUCCACUGGUGAGAAUGUUCAUGCAGAUUUGAUUUUGUUGGGGGAUUUAUUUAACAGAAUCCUUAGGGGUGAUUCUUUUUUGAGAAAAACACUUUUACUUAAAUGUUUUUUUUAAAGCAAUUGUAUUACACUAAAAUAUGUAGUUUUCCAAUAUUCAUCACCUGAGUUCAUAUAACAAAUACUAAGGAACCAUGUCCCAUUCCGGAGUCUUCCUACUGCGAUCCUGUUGUUGUGCUGCAGUGCUGCUGAUUCACACAGGGUCCCCCAGAGGGAAUAUAAAUGAUCAUCAAACCACGCCCCACCCAGCCCAGGGACAUUCCACACAGCAGCCAUGACUUCAGCAAGUGUGAAAAGACAAGGCAACCCUGUCCAACUUCCUACUCAUCCAUCCUGGAAGGUGCAGCAGUCAUUUUCACCCUACUCAGACUCCACUGCAGAUGGGACACAGCAGGUCCUCAUCCACGUCCCCCUGGAACCGGGUGACCUCGUAGCCCAUGGCACAUCACCGGAACCAAC